UGUACUGGGAAACAUUUUAUUGUUUAGUACCAAAAGGUAGGGUAGUAAAAUCAGCAAGUAACAUGCGCUUAUCGUAAACCAUUCUCAGCUUCUUGAACAGUUGAACCGUGUUUAUCUCUUGUGUCCUCGCGUUCCGCUUGAUGUAUUCAGGGUAGAUAAUCUGAACCUGUGAUUCCGUUCCGUCCAAAAGGCUCUUGAGUUUUUCGAAGUCCAAAGACUGUCUGGUGCGGCUGAAGGACUUGGUGACUUCGUUAAAAUCCAGAAUAUCCUCCGUGUACCCGUUUUGGGGUCGUCGAUGUCCAUAAUAACAUCCGCCGGAUCCCCCGCGCCUGCCUGAUUAACACGCAUUCCCACCUAGAUCAUUGGAAAUCGCAAAGGUCACUUACCCCAUUCUCCUCCAAAUCCCAGUUACCUUCGGCGAUUAUGGCUUCAAUAUCUCGGCAAUCCGCUUCAGCAACAACGUACGGUGGGGAUGGUGGAAGAUACCAUGACCCUUCGGCGAAAAUGGCAUCAGUGUCCAUACGAUCCGCUUCCGUUAGCUGAUAGUCAUCCAUGGUGAGCAUCCGAAAAGUUUUAACUGGAAGU